CAGGCAUUCAAAAUAUAUCGUAUUAGAAUUAUUAAUUGGUAGUGAUUUGAAUUAUUUUUUUCGAGAAAAAAUACCAAGUCCUGUGAGUUAGUCUCUAAUUUAUACCUAUGUGACAAGAAAAAUGGAAAUGAACUAUUUAUUUAUUCACGUCCGGGAUUAUAAUCAUCAGGAGCUUUCUACCACGUUAACUAUGUAUGAUCAGCCUUACAACAAUAGUUAUAUAACUAAUAAAUGAUGUGAUGAUUUUAAUUUGAAUGGCUUUCGGUGUUCUUCUCUGAGAAGUGAUGUCUUUUGGAUAUAUGCCAUAUACCGGUUGUGUUAAUCGGAAGGUAAUAUCAAUGAUCAAUGAUUGAAGCGAUUCCAAAGAAGAAGUCGUCGUCGGCCCAUAUGCGGACUCACUUUAUUUUGGGAACUUGGAAAAACCCAAUAACCAACGAAAAGGUUAUAGCUAAUAUCUAUUAUU